UGAAUACGAGAUGCUACGGCGUCGAAGCAGUGUAUGUCAGACUUCCAAGAAAAGCUCGCAAUGUCAUAAAUAAAGAAUGCCUGUACCAUAACCGACAUAGGUGGGUAGGUAGAGUAUACUAAGGGGCGCGAGAUAACUCUCUCUAAGGAACUCGGCAAAAUAACUCCGUAACUUCGGGAGAAGGAGUGCCUUCUUUAAGAAGGUUGCAAUAACAAGAUCCAAGCAACUGUUUAUCAAAAACACAGGUCUCCGCUAAGUCGUAAGACGAUGUAUGGGGGCUGACGCCUGCCCAGUGCCAGAAGGUUAAAGAAGUUGGUUAGCUUUUGCGAAGCUGAUGACUGAAGCCCUGGUGAACGGCGGCCGUAACAAUAACGGUCCUAAGGUAGCGAAAUUCCUUGUCGGGUAAGUUCCGACCCGCACGAAAGGCGUAAUGAUUUGGAUACUGUCUCGGAGAGGGACUCGGUGAAAUAGACUUGUCUGUGAAGAUGCGGACUACCUGCACCAGGACAGAAAGACCCUAUGAAGCUUUACUGUAACUUGAAAUUGAAAUUGGACUUUAUUUGCGCAGUAUAGGUGGAAGGCGUUGAAAGUAAUCUUGCGGGAUUAGUGGAGCCAUCAGUGAGAUACCACUCCUAUAAUGUUAGAUUUCUAACUUUGGAUCAUGAUCUGGUCAAAGAACAGUUUCAGGCGGGCAGUUUGACUGGGGCGGUCGCCUCCCAAAUGGUAACGGAGGCGUACAAAGGUUUCCUCUGAACGGGUAGAAAUCGUAUCUAGAGUGUAAAGGCAUAAGGAAGCUUGACUGUGAGACCUACAAGUCGAGCAGGGACGAAAGUCGGUCUUAGUGAUCUGACGGUGCUGAGUGGAAAGGCCGUCACUCAACGGAUAAAAGUUACUCUAGGAUAACAGGCUGAUCUCCCCCAAGAGUUCACAUCGACGGGGAGGUUUGGCACCUCGAUGUCGGCUCAUCGCAUCCUGGGGCGGUAGUACGUCCCAAGGGUUGGGCUGUUCGCCCAUGAAAGCGGUACGCGAGCUGGGUUCAGAACGUCGUGAGACAGUUCGGUCCAUAUCCGGUGUAGGCGUUAGAAUAUUGAGAGGAGCCUUCUUUAGUACGAGAGGACCGAGAAGGACAUACCUCUGGUGUACCAGUUAUCGUGCCAACGGUAAACGCUGGGUAGCUAUGUAUGGAGAGGAUAACCGCUGAAAGCAUCUAAGUGGGAAGCCCACCUCAAGAUGAGUAUCCUCAU
rnacentral:rRNA from 1 species